AAGGUUAUAUUAUACGGGGUCGAACGGGGGUGGCUGAAGAUGGAAGUCGAGCUUGCUCGGGGGAGUGUACACAUAUCGACAUCGUCCAUGCAUGACAAAACGCCUGGCUAGCCACGCCGGGAAAAACGACGAGAGAUCCGGUCUUCAUCCUCUACGAGGAUACACCCCCACCGCCCUUCUCAUCCACGGGUGCAGAAAGAAGGCGAGACUACGAAGUUGGAGGAUUUGAUUGAUUGCACUCAACGCGCUCGAGAUUUGAAUCUCCUUAACGUUGGAUCCUAUGGAGUCAAUCAAACUAGAACUUGAAGGUGCCGUGGAAUCUUAUUCUUGACAAUGAUUUUCAAGCGAUAUGUAAUGCCUGAGUAAGCAAGCUCUUUCGGACGAUAUGAACGCGCUUACCUUACCCAGGAAACACCAUGCUUCGUGACCCUAAGUUGCUCAAUGGGUAUCAGGAUUCACCAGGAAAUGAAACAUAUUCGACACCAUUUACAAACCCAGAUAACACGAGAAACAAUGCGACGCUCUAACCGCGAAGUAUUAGAGGAGUUAUGGCUCUUGCUGGCGGUUAAGAUUCCUUCAAUGGGAUACUAACGAUGACCGUGGCAGCGACAUCGCUGGAGAAAACCAAAACUUGUCCUACUAUGGAGAUAGCAACUCGAAGGGGAGCCUUUGGAUGAAAUUCCUACCCUAUGAAGAAGGGUAAAGGCGUCGAGAGGGUAGCUGUUGGCAAGCCAUUCGUCAGAAGAUAACGUUACUCAAUCGACGGUCGGUAACAUGCAAAAGCUAAACCAUCUACAUUCCAGUAUCUCUUUUCAGUAAGCUCUGAAAAAGCUUAGGGUGUAAUGAUUAGAGUAAUUACGCUUUCCAUCGGUAAAUGCGAUGGCGAUGUCUCAAUUUCCUGUGACAGACACAAAACUGUAACAUUGAAACGACUAAGUUUAAGACCGCUAUCAAGAAACAAAUUAAAUGAGAGUGAGAAAAAUCCAGUCAAACGAUACUUUAUAAUGAGCAUUGAAACAUGAGAUGAUAGAAAAAUAAGGUAAAGUUUAAGAGGAAUAGAUGACCGGUUGCCGGAGCAAUGACAUUGAGUCGGUACGAAGUGAGUACAUGAGACUACUUCUUGACUGCAACUUGAAAAUGUCACUCAGCUCGAUCAUCCCCGUGGGAAGACGCGUGACCGCGUCCACCGCCGACCACCGCAACUACCUCCGAGCACCACCAACCACCUUUAAUCACCUCCUCCCACCUCCGGCCACCUUCGUCCUCAUCAACCACCUCGUCCCCCCCUCAUGCUCCUCGUCGUCCACCCUGCCCGGUCGUCAUCGUCCUCCUCGACCUCCUCCGAUCACCACCAACCACCUCCAAACACCUCCUACGUUGUCUAAAGAAUAAAAAGACAGUUGCCCUAAUGGGCUUUGGUGUGACAACCGAAUUCGUCGUGCGCUUGAGCUCCCUGAGAUGUUCCAUCGGUAGAGUUAAAAACUUAUUGCAGAACAUCAGAGAGUUACCGAUUUCGACGUGAUGCUGACUGCAUUCGCCUUCCGAGUAACACAGCCUUCGGAAUGG